CAUGGCCUACGGGGGGCAGCAGUAGGGAAUCUUCCACAAUGGACGAAAGUCUGAUGGAGCAACGCCGCGUGAGUGAAGAAGGGUUUCGGCUCGUAAAGCUCUGUUGGUAGUGAAGAAAGAUAGAGGUAGUAACUGGCCUUUAUUUGACGGUAAUUACUUAGAAAGUCACGGCUAAAUACGUGCCAGCAGCCGCGGGAAUACGUAGGUGGCAAACGUUGUCCGGAUUUAUUGGGCGUAAAGC
rnacentral:rRNA from 1 species